rnacentral:rRNA from 1 species
AUGGGAACGCGAAGAACCUUACCUAGACUUGACAUCCCCUGAAUUACCAUGUAAUGUGGGAAGCCCUUCGGGGCAGGAAGACAGGUGGUGCAUGGUUGUCGUCAGCUCGUGUCGUGAGAUGUUGGGUUAAGUCCCGCAACGAGCGCAACCCUUAUUGUUAGUUGCUACCAUUAAGUUGAGCACUCUAGCGAGACUGCCCGGGUUAACCGGGAGGAAGGUGGGGAUGACGUCAAAUCAUCAUGCCCCUUAUGUCUAGGGCUACACACGUGCUACAAUGGCUGGUACAGAGAGAUGCUAAACCGCGAGGUGGAGCCAAACUUUAAAACCAGUCUCAGUUCGGAUUGUAGGCUGAAACUCGCCUACAUGAAGCUGGAGUUGCUAGUAAUCGCGAAUCAGAAUGUCGCGGUGAAUACGUUCCCGGGUCUUGUACACACCG